GUAAAACAUGUUAUUUACAUGUGUGUGUAGUUGACAGGUCAAGACAAGUGAGUAAGAAUGGGUAGCCCAGCGGUCUAAGCACUCGCACUUUCAGCUUUGCUGUUUGAAAAUACAUGUCGUGGGUUCGAUUCCUGUGUGAGUCAACACUUUUGUUUUUAUUACAGUUUUUAUUACUAAUUAAGUUUUUUCGUUCGCAUGUUAAAUUUAAAGUAGUUUUAAAACCCUAAAUACAUAUGGAAAUUCUGAAUUUAAAGACUAAUUUAUGCUAAGCAUGCGAAGAAACGGCCCUAAGUAUCCCAGCCAGCAAAAAAUUCAAGUUUUUGUACGAAUAACUUAGACCGCAAGAAAGUAAGAUGUGUACAGUGUUUGUACGUUGCUUAGCGCGAUGGGACUGUGGUGCAGCGCUAGAGCGUUAGACUCCAACUCGAGAGGCCGUGGGUUCGAACCCUCGUAGAGACCCCAAAUGUUUUUCUCAAUUAUAACCGGCAGUUAUACAAGUCUGCUGCCUCCUGCCCCCAAUGGCAUCAUCCGAUAUAGCAACAAUUCAACAAAUAAAUUAUCUGAAACGA